AGCUUCCGUUCGUGGAUGAAGGCUUAGAUCUAGACGCAAGGUCAAAUGAUCCAACUAGACGAUUUUAGACCUUGUUUUGUGGCAGUGUCGAAUUCGAUGUCUAGUCGUACUGCAGUCAGGCUGUUACAGUGUUUGCUUAGCGAUGAUACGACCCAAGUAGGAAUCCGGACCGUUCGCGAAUGGGCUAGCUUAUUCGGGAAUUCUCAUACGGGCUAACCCAUUCGCGAAUAGUCGCGCGAAAUACGAACCCGCGUUAGUUCUAGACAUGGCUGAUCACCGUCGGGACAGCUUCCGCGAAUUUCUGCAGACUCUUUCAGCGAAACAGAACUCGCAAUUAAUUAGUGAAGAGAAGGCUAAGCGAAUCCGACGAGUUCUGGCGAGUGGAGAUGGAAAGCACGCGCGAGUUGACAGCCCUCGUUUCAGAUUUUAUGUUCGUAGCAAGGGGUUCGCAGUAAUCGACCUGCCCGUGCUAGGGCUGAAAGAAGUUCUUUGUGUGCCUGCACCAAAGGGAAGUGAAACAAAGACAUCUUUGCUUGGGAACUGGCUAAAAGUAGCGAACGUGUCUGAAAUUUAUGAUAUCCUCAACUAUCCAUGAAGGCUCUAGAGUGCACGCUGGAUAUCGGAAAGUUUUUGCAGAUGUUCAAAAGCAGUAUUUUGGCAUCCCGAGACCUGCAGUUCAACAAUUUGUGAAGACAUGCGUUAUCUGCGCAUGUAAAACGCCACAAAUGUCAGUAGCUACUGUCAAGCCGAUUAUUUCACCAGGUUUCAUGCGAAGAGGCCAGAUAGAUCUUAUUGAUAUGACAGUAGACCCUGAUGGAGACUUCAAAUAUAUCAGUCAUUAUA